GAAUUCCUGACUUGGCACGACUUGUUUUUAAAUUAAAAUACCAGACACUUUCGUCAGUGUCUUGCCCCUCCAAUUUGGUGGUUUCCAGAUUCUUGUGGAUGACUGGUCAGAAGCAGCCCUGCAUGAGUAACACGCAACUGGAUGGGGCCACAAGAACCCCCCACCCACCCUGACUCCAUCCACAGACGAUACAGCCUAGCUUCAGCCAGGAUGAAGCCAGGGAUUAGCAAAGUGAAGUGCAGGUUUCUGUCUGCAUUCCAGCGACCACGUUGUUGGGUGCAGCUCACACUGACGCAAGCGUCCAGAAUGCGCUGGGCUCAACAGGAAGAACAAACAAGCCCACGUCGAGGAGGCCACCCAGUCGCAUGGACCGCGGGCCUGAAGCAGGAGAGCUCUUCUAGACAGGCUUGUACGCUAGCCUGAAGGGACCAUGUCGACUCCACCGCUCAGGCCAAGAAGCAGUUUGCCACAGAUAAAAUCUAACACCAGCAGCAACAACAGAAAAAUCACAACAGGGCUCUGAAACACAUGGUGUGAACUGAACCCUAUUGAUUUCCCCACACUCUUGUGAAUGGUGCUGGGUGGAAGCAGAGGAUGUGAGAGAU